GAUGAACGCUAGCGGCAGGCUUAACACAUGCAAGUCGAGGGGUAUAGUAGCAAUACUAGAGACCGGCGCACGGGUGCGUAACGCGUAUGCAACCUACCUUUUACAGAGGGAUAGCCCAGAGAAAUUUGGAUUAAUACCUCAUAGUGUUAUUAGAUGGCAUCAUUUGAUAACUAAAGUUCCAACGGUAAAAGAUGGGCAUGCGUCCUAUUAGCUAGAUGGUAAGGUAACGGCUUACCAUGGCUACGAUAGGUAGGGGUCCUGAGAGGGAGAUCCCCCACACUGGUACUGAGACACGGACCAGACUCCUACGGGAGGCAGCAGUGAGGAAUAUUGGACAAUGGGCGCAAGCCUGAUCCAGCCAUGCCGCGUGCAGGAAGAAGCAUCUAUGGUGUGUAAACUGCUUUUGUACGGGAAGAAACACUCCUACGUGUAGGAGCUUGACGGUACCGUAAGAAUAAGGAUCGGCUAACUCCGUGCCAGCA
rnacentral:rRNA from 1 species